rnacentral:misc_RNA from 1 species
GAAGUAAAUAUCAAGCAAGUAGUCCAAAUUAAAUGGAAUAGAAUAUUUAAGAGGCAAAAUGUGGAAUCCUAAAACCUAAAACAUUAAAUAUUGGUUUUGGAUUAAAAGAUGGUUUUGUCUUAAGAUUUUGGGUUACAUAUGGUCUUCUUAAUGAAUGUGGUUCCCUCAAAGCCUUGCAAAUAAAAUGUCCUAGAUGUGGCAAAGGUAAGGGCAUACCUCUAGAAUGAGAACCAUAGUUU